ACGGGAGGCAGCAGUGGGGAAUAUUGGGCAAUGGGCGAAAGCCUGACCCAGCAACGCCGCGUGAAGGAAGAAGGUCUUCGGAUUGUAAACUUCUUUUAUGAGGGACGAAGGAAGUGACGGUACCUCAUGAAUAAGCCACGGCUAACUACGUGCCAGCAGCCGCGGUAAUACGUAGGUGGCGAGCGUUAUCCGGAUUUACUGGGUGUAAAGGGCGCGUAGGCGGGGAUGCAAGUCAGGUGUGAAAUCUAUGGGCUUAACUCAUAAACUGCACUUGAAACUGUAUCUCUUGAGUGCUGGAGAGGUAGAUGGAAUUCCUUGUGUAGCGGUGAAAUGCGUAGAUAUAAGGAAGAACACCAGUGGCGAAGGCGAUCUACUGGACAGUAACUGACGCUGAGGCUCGAAAGUGUGGGUAGCAAACAGGAUUAGAUACCCUGGUA
rnacentral:rRNA from 1 species